AGCAGCCGCGGUAAUUCCAGCUCCAAUAGCGUAUAUUAAAGUUGUUGCAGUUAAAAAGCUCGUAGUUGAAUUUCGGAAUCAAUAUGUUGGUCGUGCCUUGGUACGUACUAAUUUAUUGGUUUCUUCCUUCUGACGAACCAUUAUGUCAUUAAUUUGGUGUCUUGGGGAAUCAGGACUGUUACUUUGAAAAAAUUAGAGUGUUUAAAGCAGGCUCACGCUUGAAUACAUUAGCAUGGAAUAAUGAAAUAGGACGUUUGAUUCUAUUUUGUUGGUUUCUAGGAUCGACGUAAUGAUUAAUAGGGAUAGUUGGG
rnacentral:rRNA from 1 species